UGCUCUAGUAACAGGCGAGUGAAGCGGCAACAGCUCAAAUUUGAAAUCUAGGCCCCCUCUGGGGGUCCGAGUUGUAUUUUGCUGAGGGUGCUUUGGCUUUGGCAGCGGCCUAAUUUCCUUGAAAAAGGACUUCACAGAGGGUAGAAAUCCUGUACGUGGUCCCCUGCCUUCCCCGUGUAAAGCCCCUUCGACGAGUCGAGUUGUUUGGGAAUGCAGCUCUAAAUGGAAGGAAAUUUUCUUCUAAGGCUAAUAACUGGCCAGAGACCGAUAGCGCACAAGUAGAGUGAUCAAAAGAUGAAAAGCACUUUGAAAAGAGAGUCAAAAAGCACGUGAAAUUGUUGAAAGGAAAGCGCUUGCAGCCAGACUUGCUCGUAGUUGCUCACCUGGGUCCGCCCGGGGCACUCUUCUACGGGCAGGCCAGCUUCAGUUUGGGCGACCGAAUAAAGGCCUCUGUCAUGUAUCUUCCUUCGGGAUGACCUUAUAGGGGAGGCGUAAUACGGCCAGCCCGGACUGAGGUCCGCGCAUCUGCUAGGAUGCUAGGGUAAUGGCUGUAAGCGGCCCGUCUUGAAACACAGGACCAAGGAGUCUAACAUCUAUGCGAGUGUUUGGGUGUCAAGCCCGGGCGCGUAAUGAAAGUGAACGGAGGUGGGAACCCUCUUCGGGGGGUGCACCAUCGAUAGAUCCUGAUGUCUUCGGANGGAUUUGAGUAAGAGCAUAGCUGUUGGGACCCGAAAGAUGUGAACUAUGCUUGAAUAGGGUGAAGCCAGAGGAAACUCUGGUGGAGGCUCGCAGCGGUUCUGACGUGCAAAAUCGAUCGUCAAAUUUGGGCAUAGGGCCGAAAGACUAAUCGAACUAUCUAGUAGCUGGGUCCUGCCAAAGUUUCCCUCAGGAUAGCAGUAACGUAUUCAGUUUUAUGAGGUAAAGCGAAUGAUAAGAGGCCUGGGGGUUGAAACAACCUUCACCUAUUCUCAAACUUUAAAUAUGUAAGAAGUCCUUGUUACUUGAUUGAACGUGGACAUUUGAAUGUACCGUUACUAGUGGGCCAUUUUUGGUAAGCAGAACUGGCGAUGCGGGAUGAACUGAACGCGGGGUUAAGGUGCCAGAAUGCACGCUCAUCAGACACCACAAAAGGUGUUAGUUCAUCUAGACAGCAGGACAGUAGCCAUAGAAGUCGGAAUCCGCUAAGGAGUGUGUAACAACUCACCUGCUGAAUAAACUAGCCCUGAAAAUGGAUGGCGCUCAAGCGUGCUACCCAUACCCUGCCGCUGGGGCAGACAUUAUGCCCCAGCAAGUAGGCAGGCGUGGAGGUCCG
rnacentral:rRNA from 1 species